rnacentral:rRNA from 1 species
UACGUAGGGUGCGAGCGUUGUCCGGAAUUAUUGGGCGUAAAGAGCUCGUAGGCGGUGUGUCGCGUCGGCCGUGAAAACCUGGGGCUUAACUCUGGGCGUGCGGUCGAUACGGGCAUCACUAGAGUUCGGCAGGGGAGACUGGAAUUCCUGGUGUAGCGGUGAAAUGCGCAGAUAUCAGGAGGAACACCGGUGGCGAAGGCGGGUCUCUGGGCCGAUACUGACGCUGAGGCGCGAAAGCGUGGGUAGCAAACAGA